rnacentral:rRNA from 1 species
UACGUAGGGUGCGAGCGUUGUCCGGAAUUAUUGGGCGUAAAGAGCUCGUAGGCGGUUUGUCGCGUCGACUGUGAAAACCCGAGGCUUAACCUCGGGCCUGCAGUCGAUACGGGCAGACUAGAGUUCGGUAGGGGGAGACUGGAAUUCCUGGUGUAGCGGUGAAAUGCGCAGAUAUCAGGAGGAACACCGGUGGCGAAGGCGGGUCUCUGGGCCGAUACUGACGCUGAGGAGCGAAAGCGUGGGGGAGCGAACAGG